GACGAACGCUGGCGGCGUGCCUAAUACAUGCAAGUCGAACGCAGUGGGGACGGGUGAGUAACACGUGGAUAACCUCCCAUCAGAGGGGAUAAAACUUGGAAACAGGUGCUAAACCGAUACUGAUGGAUGGACCCGCGGUGAAUUAGCUAGCUGGUGGAGUAACGGCUCACCAAGGCCACGAUUCAUAGCGGACCGUAUAGGGUGUUCGGCCACACUGGGACUGAGACACGGCGCAGACUCCGACGGGAGGAAGCAGUAGUGAAUCUUCGGCAAUGGACGCAAGUCUGACCGAGCAACGCCGCGUGAGUGAAGAAGGUUUUCGGAUCGUAAAACUCUGGUGUUAGAGAAGCGGUAUCUAACCAGAAAGCCACGGCUAACUACGUGCCAGCAGCCGCGGUAAUUC
rnacentral:rRNA from 1 species